rnacentral:rRNA from 1 species
CCUACGGGGAGCAGCAGUGAGGAAUAUUGGUCAAUGGACGGAAGUCUGAACCAGCCAUGCCGCGUGCGGGAAGACGGCUCUAUGAGUUGUAAACUGCUUUUGUACAAGGGUAAACCUGAAUACGUGUAUUCAGCUGAAAGUACUGUACGAAUAAGGAUCGGCUAACUCCGUACCAGCAGCCGCGGUAAUACGGAGGAUCCAAGCGUUAUCCGGAUUUAUUGGGUUUAAAGGGUGCGUAGGCGGAUUGAUAAGUUAGAGGUGAAAUGUCCGAGCUUAACUCGGGAACUGCCUCUAAUACUGUUGAUCUAGAGAGUAGAUGCGGUAGGCGAAAUGUAUGGUGUAGCGGGGAAAUGCUUAGAGAUCAUACAGAACACCGAUUGCGAAGGCAGCUUACCAAUCUAUAUCUGACGUUGAGGCACGAAAGCGUGGGGAGCAAACAGGAUUAGAUACCCCAGUAGUC